UCGAAUGGUGACCAAACCGCA
rnacentral:siRNA from 1 species